GGGCAGCUCUAUGAUCAUCCAGCAACAUGAAAGUUUGAAUCUUCAAGUCAGCCAGCAAUUCAAGGCUGAUCUUUCACAGAAUAUCUUCAAAGACAAAAAGCAUGCCCAGCAGAUACUGUUUGCAAGACAUCCCCUGUUUCAUCCGCAUAUAAAACUGUUCAGACAGAAAGCAGAUCAGUGGUUGCCUGGGCCUGGGGGUAAGAAUUGGGUCUGAACACAAAUGCACAGGAGGCUUCUUUCUGGGGGGGAUGAUGGAUAUAUUCUAAAAUUAGAUUACAGGAUAUGUACAACUCUUUAAAUGUACUAAAUACCAUUGAAUUGUACACUUAAAACAGAUAUUUUUGUGGCAUAUAAAUGAUACCUUGUUAGAUUUCUAAUUAAAAAAAAAAGAUAUGCAACAAGCAACAAAAGUUUACUGUAUAUUACAGGGAACUGCAGUCAAUAUCAUAUAAUAACCUAUUAUGGAAAAUAAUCUGAAAAAUAAUAUAUGUGUAUGCUGCUGCUGCUUCUAAGUCACUUUAGUCGUGUCCGACUCUGUGCAACCCCACAGACGGCAGCCCACCAGGCUCCCCCGUCCCUGGGAUUCUCCAGGUAAGAACACUGGACUGGGUUGCCAUUUCCUUCUCCAAUGCAUGAAAGUGAAAAGUGAAAGUGAAGUCACUCAGUUGUAUCCAACUCUUAGCGACCCCAUGGACUGCAGCCCACCAGGCUCCAUCCAUGGGAUAUUCCAGGCAAAAGUACUGGAGUGGGGUGCCAUUGCCUUCUCUGAUAUGUAUAUAUUUAUAUGUGUAUAUUUAUAUGUAUAUUUAUAUUGUGUGUAUAUUUAUAACUGAAUCACCUUGCUGUGCACUUGAAACAUUGUAAGUCAAUUAUACUUCAAUGAAAUAUAUAUAUAUAUAAAGAAAAAAGUUGUUUUUUAAAGACAGAGAAAACUGAUGGUGAGGACUUGGUCCUGUGGGAGGAGGCUGGGAGAGGAUGCUUCAACCCUGCAGCUCCCUUCUUGGCAGCCAGAACUUGCCUUCGGUGCUGUUG
ensembl:lncRNA